GGUGCUCCCACAUUCGCCUGCGCCGCUCGCUACCGUCUUGUUUCACCUCUGGCCUCUCGUGGCUCUCCUUCAGAUGAAGCUUCCUGUCGGCUGCAAAGGACGCACGGUCGUUUUACUGGAAGUGACAAGAGGAAGCGGGCAAACAGACCUGGCUUUGUUCUGCAUCGUUCACAUCGACGGCGUCCAAGUCACCUGUCAACACGCACAAACAACACGAACCGUCACGCUUAAACGUGACUGACAGGCAUGGCAAGCGUGAGCGUGGUGAGCAUUCUUUGGGCUGCUUGGAUGUUUUUCCUGCUCAUCCGUAGACCAGAAAAGCCGCCACAGCGCCCCGAGUGGAAGUGGAAUUCCGAUUAUUUGGCUUUUGGUGGCAUCGCUGCACGGGUCAGAUGACGAGCUCACCAGAGAGGAAGAGCGCGCCCAGGAAGAGCAGCACAGCGGCGCCCACGAUGCAUUUGUUCAUCGUCCACCACGUCUGCUCCUCCUUUCCCUCCGGCAACCUCAAUUCCACCUCAUCCUCCUCCUCUU